ensembl:lncRNA
GCCGACUAGCCUUCAGAUUCCACUGAGGACACAGUGAAGAAUCAUAUUCACCUACAAGCUACCAACAAGAUGGCUGGAAACGAGGCUUUGAGUGCUCUGGUUCAGUCUUGCUUGCCUGCUGUUACUGUCAUCUUCUAUCCCAGAGCCAAACUGGGCCCAAGUCCGAAUGUGGCAGCAUUUAAUCUUGCCUGAGAUACUGACUGUGCAUUUGGAAAUGUGGUUGAUGCCGAGGCCAGAAUCCUAACAUGGCGGACAAAAGGGACUUCGGAAAACAUCAGUUUGGUUACUUCUGUCCCUAUCCAUUACUUUAUUUCCAGGUGGAAAGAAGGCAACAUGUGCACCAUGGGAUGAGGUAGUAGGUUGUAUAGUUUUAGGGUCACACCCACACUGGGAGAUAACUAUACAGCCUACUGUCUUUCUCAAAGUGAAAACGGAGCUACGGAGUAUCAUCCUACGUUUCCUGAUGUUUAAUAUCAAUGAUAGCUUUGUCACGGUAUGUGUUGAAAAUGUUUUUGAUUGUUAAUAGAGGCAGCAAUGCUUGUGCAGUGUGAGGUAGUAGAUUGUAUAGUUGUAGGGUAGUGAUUUUAUCCUGUGUAGCAGAUAACUAUACAAUCUAUUGCCUUCCCUGAGGGGCAGAAAUACACACCAAAUGAGCAUCUAAUUAUUUAAGAAAAUGUGAUGCAUGUGGUUUUUAAAUCAAGAUUGAAUUAUUUUCCUUGUCUAAAGUAUCUUUGUUUUUAACAAAUACAGUAAAUUAUUUCUAAAUUUAUCUGUGGUUUUCUUUGAUGUAAAAUAUAUGCAUGACUUGU